ACUCCUACGGGAGGCAGCAGUGGGAGUAUUGCAUCAAUGGGAACGGACUGNAGCCAUGCCGCGUGUGUGAAGAAGGCCUUCGGGUUGUAAAGCACUUUCAGUAGGGAGGAAGGUAGUGUAGUUAACACCUGCAUUAUUUGACGUUACCUACAGAAGAAGCACCGGCUAACUCCGUGCCAGCAGCCGCGGUAAUACGGAGGGUGCGAGCGUUAAUCGGAAUUACUGGGCGUAAAGCGCAUGCAGGCGGCCUGUUAAGUCAGAUGUGAAAG
rnacentral:rRNA from 1 species